CGUAGAUUUACGUGCAGGUAGGCCGAGACGCUUGUCUGUUCAUCAACCGUCUCAGGCAUUGGUUGAUUUGAAGCCGACCCCUCUUCAAGGUGUUAACAUAAAGAUUAAUAGGGCAUCGGCUCACACCGUCGAAGAAUUUUCACUCGGAAAGAUGUUAGCUAUCGUUGCGAGUCGUCCGAUCCUAAGAUCCGCCGUCGACGCCCUUGCAAAGACGUCUGCACGGAAUAACUCCCACUACCAAGGGCAAGUUUCUGGACCACCGCGAGUGAGGAUAUCGUUUCCGGAAAAAGUGACUCAUGGGAUUAUAAUCUUCAUCGGCUGCACUAUCAUUCCGACGUGGGUAACCUUGAACAUCCCAAAGUAUAAUCCACAAGACGCCGAUGAUGAGUAGAAUGACCUUACAUGACAGUAGAUGAGACUUUUUCUGGAUUUGUAGUGUACUGAAUUAAACAUAACUUACUUACAUAGCUCUAUAUUCGUCAACAUUGUAAUUCAAUUGACAUGCAAUAAAAUUGUUGAAGGCCA
rnacentral:lncRNA from 1 species